CGGGUGAGUAACACGUGGAUAACCUACCUAUAAGACCUGGAUAACUUCGGGAAACCGGAGCUAAUACCGGAUAAUAUUUUGAACCGCAUGGUUCAAAAGUGAAAGACGGUCUUGCUGUCACUUAUAGAUGGAUCCGCGCUGCAUUAGCUAGUUGGUAAGGUAACUGCUUACCAAGGCAACGAUGCAUAGCCGACCUGAGAGGGUGAUCGGCCACACUGGAACUGAGACACGGUCCAG
rnacentral:rRNA from 1 species